rnacentral:rRNA from 1 species
GUUGUUGUGGAGAAAUCAAUUGUGUGGAACGGGUUGUUGUGGGGUUGAGACCUUAUCAGCUCUCCUUACUCUUUACCUUUUUCACGCAAUGCACUUUCUCUUUAACAAGUCAACAUCAAUUUCUUUUGUUGUAAAAGGGUCAGCGGAAGGUGGCUUUCUUUUCGGAGAAAGUGUUUAUAGCCGUUGAUCUCUACAAUCGGAGAGAUUGAGGUCUGCAGCGUAGAUCCUUCGGGGUUAGAUACGUUGGUGCUAAGUUAUAAUCCUAUAUAGACAACUUGUUGACUAUGUUCGAUCAUGUAGCUUACUCGCUGGCGCUAUUUUACCUAC